rnacentral:rRNA from 1 species
UCAAAUGAAGAAAAGCUUACGGUGGAUACCUAGGCACCUAGAGACGAUGAAGGGCGUGGAAACCAACGAAAUGCUUCGAGGAGCUGGAAACAAGCUAUGAUUCGAAGAUUCCCGAAUAGGGCAACCUUGUAUACUACCUAUUGAAUUCAUAGAUAGGAAAGAGACAACCCAGUGAACUGAAACAUCUUAGUAGCUGGAGGAAAAGAAAGCAAACGCGAUUCCCUUAGUAGCGGCGAGCGAAAUGGGAACAGCCUAAACCGAUUCGAUUUUGUUGAGUUGGGGUUGUGGGAAGAAAGUUUUUAAGUCCAAGACACCAAAGGUGUCAGGUUUUCCCCCCCGGGGGAAACAAAGGUUUUUACAAAGUAUAGACCUCGCUCUUAAAGGGCAAGGUUUUUGGCUAGUUUAAAUCGUUACUAAAUUUAGUUUUUGUUGACUUAAAGAGAUAGUUUACUUAACUAGGUGAAGCAGCUGAAUCCUGCACCAUAGAUGGUGAAAGUCCAGUAAUCGAAAGUUAAGUGAUAUUUUUAUUUCUUAUCCCGAGUAGCAUGGGGCACGUGAAAUCCCGUGUGAAUCAGCGAGGACCACCUCGUAAGGCUAAAUACUCCUAGGUGACCGAUAGUGAAAUAGUACCGCGAGGGAAAGGUGAAAAAGAACCCCUAUAGGGGAGUGAAAUAGAACAUGAAACCGUAAGCUGUCAAGCAGUGGGAGGGCUCAAAGCCUGACCGCGUGCCUGUUGAAGAAUGAGCCGGCGACUUAUAGGGAGUGGCGUGGUUAAAGAAAAACAUCUGAAGCCAAAGCGAAAGCAAGUCUUAAUAGGGCGAUACUGUCACUUCUUAUGGACCCGAACCCGGGUGAUCUAACCAUGGCCAGGAUGAAGCUUGGGUAAAACCAAGUGGAGGUCCGAACCGACCGAUGUUGAAAAAUCGGCGGAUGAGCUGUGGUUAGGGGUGAAAUGCCAAUCGAACUCGGAGCUAGCUGGUUCUCCCCGAAAUGCGUUGAGGCGCAGCGGUUGAUGAAUUGGGCUAUCUAGGGGUAAAGCACUGUUUCGGUACGGGCUGCGAGAGCGGUACCAAAUCGUAGCAAACUAAGAAUACUAGAUAUGCUUUCCAUCAGCCAGUGAGACGGUGGGGGAUAAGCUUCAUCGUCGAGAGGGAAACAGCCCAGAUCACCAGCUAAGGCCCCUAAAUGGCCGCUAAGUGGUAAAGGAGGUAAGAAUGCUGAAACAACCAGGAGGUUUGCUUAGAAGCAGCCACCCUUAAAAGAGUGCGUAAUAGCUCACUGGUGGAGCGUUCUUGCGCCGAAAAUGAACGGGACUAAGCGGUCUGCCGAAGCUGUGGGAUUUUUAUAUUAAAUUUUUCGUAGAAGACUUUUUUUCUACGCUACGCACAUAAUUAUAUUAUUUGUUUAUUGUGCUAAAUUUAAAGUUGAAAAUCGGUAGGGGAGCGUUCCGCUCUAGGGUGAAGCAUAAACGAAAGUUAAUGUGGACAAAGCGGAAGUGAGAAUGUCGGCUUGAGUAACGCAAACAUUGGUGAGAAUCCAAUGCCCCGAAAACCUAAGGGUUCCUCCACUAGGCUCGUCCAUGGAGGGUUAGUCAGGACCUAAGGCAAGGCCGAAAGGCGUAGUCGAUGGAAAACAGGUUAAUAUUCCUGUACUAGUUUUUGAUUGGUACCGAGGGACGAAGAAAGCAAAGGUUAAUCAAUAUUGGAUUUUUGGUGGAAACGUUCGAGGUGUUGAGAGGUAGAAUAAAAACUAACCUUGAGCUAAGACGUGAUACGGUUUCAUUCCCUAGUUAAUAAGCUACGCUUAUCUACCAUAGUGAAAUUUAACUAAUUGUUAUACUUCCUAGAAAAGCUCGAACUACUAAUAAUUAAAAAUUACCUGUACCCCAAACCGACACAGGUAGGUGGGUAGAGUAUACCUAGGGGCGCGAGAUAACUCUCUCUAAGGAACUCGGCAAAAUGGCCCCGUAACUUCGGGAGAAGGGGUGCCUCUAGAAAUAGAGGCCGCAGUGACCAGGCCCAGGCGACUGUUUACCAAAAACACAGGUCUCCGCUAAGUCGCAAGACAAUAUAUGGGGGCUGACGCCUGCCCAGUGCCGGAAGGUGAAGGAAGUUGGUUAUUUUAUUCCUUGGAAUAAGAAAAGCUGACAACCGAAGCCCCGGUGAACGGCGGCCGUAACUAUAGACUUUUGUAGUUAUAAAAUUUAGCCAAAUGCUGGAAAUUCUCGAUGAAUCUUUACUACUCGUUUAAAAUCAAAUAAGCACGGAACAGACAGGGUACUGUCUUUCAGCUCUGGCACUUUAUCUACACUUGCAACUUCGUUGCUAGUAGGGUUAACAAACUAUGUUUGUUUACUUCUUAGGGUUGAGUGACUUAAGGAAACAUAACAGUGAAAAUGUAAAGAGAAGAGGCAAUCAGCAGGAAAGACUUUUAUGGAAAAUAAAGCAAUAAGUGUUAAACAAGUUCCACCAGAUAAAGGACAUUACAUUGCCGGAUUCGUUGAUGGAGAAGGAAGCUUCUACGUUAGUGCAAGAAAAAGGGAUGAUUAUCGUUCCAAAUGGAGAAUGACCGCACACUUUAAUGUUAGUAAUAACGAUCAUAAGGUACUUGAAAUUUGUAAGAAGUAUUUAGGCUGUGGGAUAAUUAGACAAUCUCGUUUAGGGUUUUACACCUUAGAGGUAGAGAAUUUAAAUACUCUUAACAACUUUAUUAUUCCUUUCUUUAGACGAUUUGGCUUUUUAUCAAAUAAAAAAACAAAAGAAUUUUCCACUUUUCGGAAAAUAGUCGCUCUUAUAGAAGCACCAAUACAAACUAAAGCACAAUUACAACUUUUUUUUUCACUUCGAAAAGAACUUAAUACGUUAAGAAAAGGUGGUAGAGCAACCAAUACUGAUGCAGUUAUUUUACAAAGCUUCAUAUUUCACGAAGAAUCCUCAGAGACUAUACGCUAGACGACUAGUUUUACUAGUUGAUGAUAUAGUCCGAUCUUUAUGGUGACAUAAAGGCUUUCACUAAAGUUCUUUAUUAUAGACGUUGUUUAUAAUU